rnacentral:rRNA from 1 species
GAACGGGUGCGUAAUACAUCGGAACGUGUCCUGUAGUGGGGGAUAGCCCGGCGAAAGCCGGAUUAAUACCGCAUACGAUCUACGGAAGAAAGCGGGGGAUCCUUCGGGACCUCGCGCUAUAGGGGCGGCCGAUGGCAGAUUAGCUAGUUGGUGGGGUAAAGGCCUACCAAGGCGACGAUCUGUAGCUGGUCUGAGAGGACGACCAGCCACACUGGGACUGAGACACGGCCCAGACUCCUACGGGAGGCAGCAGUGGGGAAUUUUGGACAAUGGGGGAAACCCUGAUCCAGCAAUGCCGCGUGUGUGAAGAAGGCCUUCGAGUUGUAAAGCACUUUUGUCCGGAAAGAAAACUUCUGCCCUAAUACGGUGGGAGGAUGACGGUACCGGAAGAAUAAGCACCGGCUAACUACGUGCCAGCAGCCGCGGUAAUACGUAGGGUGCGAGCGUUAAUCGGAAUUACUGGGCGUAAAGCGUGCGCAGGCGGUUCGUUAAGACAGAUGUGAAAUCCCCGGGCUUAACCUGGGAACUGCAUUUGUGACUGGCGAGCUAGAGUAUGGCAGAGGGGGGUAGAAUUCCACGUGUAGGCAGUGAAUGCGUAGAGAUGUGGGAGGAAUUACCCGA